rnacentral:rRNA from 1 species
UACGAAGGGUGCAAGCGUUACUCGGAAUUACUGGGCGUAAAGCGUGCGUAGGUGGUCUGUUAAGUCUGAUGUGAAAGCCCUGGGCUCAACCUGGGAAUUGCAUUGGAUACUGGCAGGCUAGAGUGCGGUAGAGGAUGGCGGAAUUCCCGGUGUAGCAGUGAAAUGCGUAGAGAUCAGGCGGAACACCUGUGGCGAAGGCGGC